AUACGAGGGGUGCAAGCGUUAAUCGGAAUUACUGGGCGUAAAGCGUUCGUAGGCGGUUUGUUAAGCAAGAUGUGAAAGCCCUGGGCUCAACCUGGGAACUGCAUUUUGAACUGGCAAGCUAGAAUACUGUAGAGGGUGGUGGAAUUUCCAGUGUAGCGGUGAAAUGCGUAGAGAUUGGAAGGAACAUCAGUGGCGAAGGCGGCCACCUGGACAGAUACUGACGCUGAGGAACGAAAGCGUGGGGAGCGAACAGGAUUAGAAACCCCAGUAGUCC
rnacentral:rRNA from 1 species